CCCAAAUAUUUUAUAUGCAAACAAAAGUGCAGAGAAGCAUUGCCAUGGCAACCAUGUCGCAGUGGGCCCUUGGUGCUGAUGCAAGAUUUGGAUGUUGAUACUCAGAAAGCAAUCUGCACAGUGACAGCAUAGCUGUGUAUAAGCAAUGACACAAAACAGUGACUGAAACAGUCGUCCUGCAAAGCCAGUAACCAUGAUGUGCCUUCGAAAGAUGCGGAUCAUCAGUUUUCUUCUCUACAUUCUGAGCUAUGCUCUUUUCUGAGAACUAACAGCAUCAAGUUCAGUCUUCUAUCCUGGAAAUAGCAAGGUGAGAGAGGCUGACUGGAGAGGGACCAUGGGCCACCUGAGCUGCUAUACCAAAGAGAAAUGGGGAACCUGAGGAUGCUUGGCCCUCCUGGGCUCCUGAAGACGCUGAGGCUGAUGGAGGUAGGUCUGCACCUUUAUAGUGCUUCUACUCUUGAGGCAUGAAAGUGUGUGAGCCAGGUCCUCAGAUUUCUCAUCUACCUGACAUAUGGAAAAAUUUGAGAACAAAAACUUCCCAUAAGCGCCUACUCAUUAACCCUGCAUCAUGGGGUUAAAGCUCAGAGAAGGUGAUAAUAAACUUUGUUGACAAAUUCUUGGCUCUAAGAUAUGGCAGACAGAAAGAAGAAUUUCUGUG
rnacentral:lncRNA from 7 species